rnacentral:rRNA from 1 species
CAGCACCUCAAGUGGUCAGGAUGAUUAUUGGGCCUAAAGCAUCCGUAGCCGGCGCUGUAAGUUUUCGGUUAAAUCUGUACGCUCAACGUACAGGCUGCCGGGAAUACUGCAGCGCUAGGGAGUGGGAGAGGUAGACGGUACUCGGUAGGAAGGGGUAAAAUCCUUUGAUCUAUUGAUGACCACCUGUGGCGAAGGCGGUCUACCAGAACACGUCCGACGGUGAGGGAUGAAAGCUGGGGGAACAAACCGGAUUAGAUACCCGUGUAGUCC